UGAGGAAUAUUGGACAAUGGGCGCAAGCCUGAUCCAGCCAUGCCGCGUGCAGGAUGACGGUCCUAUGGAUUGUAAACUGCUUUUGUACAGGAAGAAACAGUUCUACGUGUAGAACCUUGACGGUACUGUAAGAAUAAGGAUCGGCUAACUCCGUGCCAGCAGCCGCGGUAAUACGGAGGAUCCAAGCGUUAUCCGGAAUCAUUGGGUUUAAAGGGUCCGUAGGCGGUUAGAUAAGUCAGUGGUGAAAGCCCAUCGCUCAACGGUGGAACGGCCAUUGAUACUGUCUGACUUGAAUUAUUAGGAAGUAACUAGAAUAUGUAGUGUAGCGGUGAAAUGCUUAGAGAUUACAUGGAAUACCAAUUGCGAAGGCUGGUUACUACUAAUGGAUUGACGCUGAUGGACGAAAGCGUGGGUAGCGAACAGGAUUAGAUACCCCCGUAGUCCCUGAGCGGGCUGGCAAGGCGCAU
rnacentral:rRNA from 1 species